rnacentral:rRNA from 1 species
UGGCGACCGGCGCACGGGUGCGUAACGCGUAUGCAACUUGCCUCACAGAGGGGGAUAACCCGUCGAAAGACGGACUAAUACCGCGUACACUUGGGAUGGGGCAUCCUGACCCAAGGAAAUGAAAUUCGCUGUGAGAUAGGCAUGCGUCCCAUUAGCUAGUUGGUGAGGUAACGGCUCACCAAGGCGACGAUGGGUAGGGGAACUGAGAGGUUGAACCCCCACACUGGUACUGAGACACGGACCAGACUCC